rnacentral:rRNA from 1 species
UACGUAGGGAGCUAGCGUUGUCCGGAAUCAUUGGGCGUAAAGCGCGCGUAGGCGGCCCGGUAAGUCCGCUGUGAAAGUCAAAGGCUCAACCUUUGAAUGUCAGCGGAUACUGCCGGGCUAGAGUCCGGAAGAGGCGAGUGGAACUCCUGGUGUAGCGGUGGAAUGCGCAGAUAUCAGGAAGAACACCAACGGCGAAGGCAGGUCUCUGGGCAUUAACUGACGCUGAGGAGCGAAAGCAUGGGGAGCGAACAGG